ACAGUCAGGGAAGAGUCGCGGUUUCACCCGUGGAGCACGCAGGAGGAGAGAAGCUUGCAGUACAGCGGGGUCCGGGGCUCAGACCAUGGGAGCCUGCAGGACCCGAGUUGUGCCUCAGAGCCGUGCGAGGUCUGGACUCUGCCUUGGGAACUGGAGUUCUCCCGAGUAAAACCCACGAAGAGCAUCACAGGAGGCUGCGGGAUCCGGGGAAGCCCUGCUCCCCGGGAGCCCACGAAGAGACUUCCAGGAGCGUGGAAUCGAUGGACAGACUGACAAGACAGCAAAGGCCAGGCUCUGGGAGGUCUAGGACUCCGUGACCGCCCCGCCUCCCCCAGCCUCCCUCCCCUUCCCCCACUACCUGAGGCUCUGAAGCUUCCCGCUUCCUGGUACAGACUCCUUGGAUGCUUGCUUCCUCUCUCUCCCCUCUGACUACAACCCUCGCCUCUGCCCCUUCUCCCUCCCCCUUUCCUCCUUUAUCGCCCCUUCCUCUAUCCUCUCCCUAUUUCAUCUCCACUUCUUCCUUCCCCACCCCUUCCAUCCUUUCCUCUCCUUUCCCCUCCCUCUCCCUUUCCUCCCCUGUCCCUUUCCUUCCCUCCCACCUCCCUUUAUCACCCCUUCCUCACUUUUUCUCCGCCCCCUCCCUCCUUUCCUUUCCUCUUACCCUUUCUCCCUCUCUCCCUCUCUCCCUCUCCCCUCCUGGGACCCUUGGCUGCGCCUGGGUUUCGCUCACACACACUUGGCCCGAAUGUGGUUCUUAAGAGUUCGGGUCAGAAAGUCUUAGGGGCAAGUUUGGGCUCGCGGCUCCCCUCCGCGUCCGCGGCUGCAGACCUGUGUCUAGGUCCCAGUCCGCCUGUGUCUGCGUUGUGAUGUGGCGCUGGGCAGCCACACGUUGUAUUUUGGAGAAAGGCACCAAGGGAGGCGGGAAAGCUGUCUUUACAGCCAAAUCUGGUAUUUGCAUAGCUGUGCAGGAGAAGGUGGGUGUAAUGAUCAGGUGGCCUCAAUAAAAGUCAAGAUGAGACCGCCCAGGGAAGAAAGUGGGUGGUAUUUCUGCUCUUAAAAUUGAUAGCGGCUUUUUUGGUCUUCGGCAAUCCACCUUCCCAACUUGGGUGCUUGGAGCCUGGCUGUGAUGAGGGCGUGUGCCAAAAGCCUGGUUUCCCUUGGGACAGCUGGGUCUCCCAGCCAGCACGCAGUAAAACUGACUGAUGUGCCAGGCACCCAGCUAAUUGCCUCUCAGACUUUACUGGCACCGAUCUUUGUAACAAUGUAUGUGUCUCCUGUAGUCUCAGUUUGGCUAGAUUGACCUGUGGGUAAGCUAAGGGGAUUUGGCCAUGGCCACACAACUCUUCCUGGUUCUCUGGCUCUCAAAUCUGACCCCAAAAUCGCUCCUAUGACUUUAGUGUUUGGGAGGCUUUGGGCAACCUGGUCCAGCCCCAGACAGGCUGAGCAACAACUAGCUGAGAGUACACAGGCCAAGUAAGAGUUUUGCAAAGGAUGUACUCAGCUCCGCUGCCUCUUCAACCCCCAGGGUGUUGCCCCAGCCGAGUCUGUGAUUGGCUACAGAACUCAAGGCACCCUGCGGUAUCUGAGGGAAUUCCCUAGGGCACUAGAGUAUCCUUGUGCAAAAUGACUGCACUGUCCAACAAGGUUUUAAAAGUUGCCCAAAUGCUCACAUUCAGCAAAGACAGUACUGGAUAAUAAGGGGUUGACCCAGCUAAAAGUCUUAAAAGUUUGCAGCCAUGCACCCAGUCAUCUCUGAUGGACUCUAGACAGAAGACAUCUUGGAACAAACUGAGAUUUCUGGCCCUGAGGCUAUUUUUCAAGGUGUUUGCUUUGGAGAUGAAAGAGGUAGAUGCUUGGCAGGAGACAAGAUGAUGGGCCGUUGAUGGUCCUAGGUUUUUUUUUUUUUUUUUUUUUUUUUUUUUUUUUUAUAACCAGCAUGUAGAAAACAUCUGUGUAGUCGUGCAUGCCCUUAGUUCCAGCACUCCAGAGGCAGAGGCAGGCAGAUCUCUGAGUUUGAGGUCAGGCUGGUCAACAGAACGAGUUCCAGGACUGCCAGGGCCACACAGAGAAACCCUGUCUC
ensembl:processed_transcript Gm15411 predicted gene 15411